UUGCAAUCAGCACACCUGCUGCUUCUACCUUGGAAGGGAGCAGAUAGGAAGGAUGAAAGGGCUUGACUCUGGGCCUCUUGGCACUCACAACCUGCUUCUCAUCCCUCUAGGAACUGGAAGCACUGCAGUCUAAUGGAAGACUCAAGAGUUUCACAUUCUACUUCACAGCAUCAGUCAGGGGUACAAGAUGUGGUAGGUUCUGUGACUCCAUGCUAGUAGCCACCAUGUGAUUUUUGGCGCACCCUCCUAAUAAACCGAAGU